AGGAGGAGGAGGGCUGGAGGAGGACGGCGACUCCCGGGCGACUGCAGUUGGCGGUGGGAUAUUGCCCGCUCGCUCCGGUUUUUCGCAUCGGAGGAAACGUCAAGGUGGCUACUAGGAGCACGCGAUCGCCGCCGCUUUGCCGGGACUUUCUUGCUUUUCCUUCGCUUCUUCUUCGCCUUCUGGUUUGAGAGGCUUUCGUUUCAAAUAUGUGCGGGUGAACAGUUGUGCGCCGUCGCCCGGGAGACCUCACAAAGGGUAUUGCCUUGAGACUCCUGGACCACAAUGGAAUGCUGAAUAAGGCGGUAGCAAGAUUACAACAAUAGACCAUGGACUUCAACACGAGACACUGGUGAUGCAGCGGCAGUGAGUAUUUUC